AUAAAAAGAAUAAUUGAAAAUUUGAAGGUGGAGGUCGUAUCCUGAGGUCGGUAAAACCUCUUAUCUAGCAAUGGUAUUCCAACGUAGGUGGCAGUCCAGAAUAAUGCCUUUAAUAUCAAUAUUCAGGCAUUAUUUGGGUUUGGCACAUGUAACCAACUCAUCACACAUCAGGGAUGGAGUUGGUUGGGAAUGCAUAAAAGAAGGAUACGGUCGACUGAUGGAAAGGCGAGAAAAUGGAAUCAGUCUUUGUGAAGAAUAAUGGCCCCCAUAUAAAUUGUAUUGAAUUUUAUGA